GGUUCACCAUCCCCCAGGAACUCUAUGGGCUGGGAACCAUGACUAUAACACACAAGCCUUUGGGGGACAGUCAAGAUCCAAACUACUGCAAGGAGCAUCAUCUUCACUGAAAAUGUUCUAGUUUCCUGUGAUUACAGGAGACAAUUUCUCCCAACAAGAUUAUUGGCUUCAUGGGAUCAGAUAUUGGAAUCUUCCUUCUUCAUCACUGUAAGAUAUCUGAAGGAUUUAGUGCAAGACCUAGAAAAUAUUUUGACGCUAACUGCCUGACAACACUGCAGAAGAUGGAUUGGAGAGAGGGCAAGACCAAAGUCAGGGAGGCCAACUGGCAUAUUCGUACCCUG